AGCCUUACCAGGGCUUGACAUCCCUUGAAGCAGCUAGAGAUAGCUGUGUCCUUCGGGACAAGGAGACAGGUGGUGCAUGGUUGUCGUCAGCUCGUGUCGUGAGAUGUUGGGUUAAGUCCCGCAACGAGCGCAACCCUCGCCUCUAGUUGCCAGCAUUCGGUUGGGCACUCUAGAGGGACUGCCGGCGACAAGUCGGAGGAAGUGGGAUGACGUCAAAUCAUCAUGCCCCUUAUGACCUGGGCUACACACGUGCUACAAUGGGCGGUACAAAGGGCUGCGAACCCGCGAGGGGGAGCGGAAUCCCAAAAAGCCGCUCUCAGUUCGGAUUGCAGGCUGCAACUCGCCUGCAUGAAGCCGGAAUCGCUAGUAAUCGCGGAUCAGCAUGCCGCGGUGAAUACGUUCCCGGGCCUU
rnacentral:rRNA from 1 species